rnacentral:rRNA from 1 species
GUCCACGCCCUAAACGAUGCUGACUAGUUGUUCGGGAUUUACAUCCUGAGUAACGUAGCUAACGCGUGAAGUCAGCCGCCUGGGGAGUACGGUCGCAAGAUUAAAACUCAAAGGAAUUGACGGGGACCCGCACAAGCGGUGGAUGAUGUGGAUUAAUUCGAUGCAACGCGAAAACCUUACCUACCCUUGACAUGUCACUAACGAAGUAGAGAUACAUUAGGUGCUCGUAAGAGAAAGUGAACACAGGUGCUGCAUGGCUGUCGU